rnacentral:rRNA from 1 species
ACCGGCAGCUCAAGUGGUGGCCAUUUUUAUUGGGCCUAAAGCGUUCGUAGCCGGUUUGAUAUGUCUCUGGUGAAAUCCCGCAGCUUAACUGUGGGACUUGCUGGAGAUACUAUUAGACUUGAGGUCGGGAGAGGUUAGGGGUACUCCCAGGGUAGGGGUGAAAUCAUGUAAUCCUGGGGGGACCACCUGUGGCGAAGGCGGCUGACUAGAUCGGUUCUGAUGGUGAGUAACGAAAGCUAGGGGGGCGAACCG